rnacentral:rRNA from 1 species
AACGAACGCUGGCGGCAUGCCUAACACAUGCAAGUCGAACGCGUGUAGCAAUACACGAGUGGCGGACGGGUGAGUAACGCGUGGGAACCUGCCCAGUGGUAGGGAAUAACUACGGGAAACUGCAGCUAAUACCCUAUACGCCCUUUGGGGGAAAGAUUCAUCGCCAUUGGAGGGGCCCGCGUCGGAUUAGCUAGUUGGCGGGGUAAUGGCCCACCAAGGCAACGAUCCGUAGCUGGUCUGAGAGGAUGAUCAGCCACACUGGGACUGAGAUACGGCCCAGACUCCUACGGGAGGCAGCAGUGGGGAAUAUUGGACAAUGGGGGAAACCCUGAUCCAGCAAUGCCGCGUGAGUGAAGAAGGCCUUCGGUUGUUAAGUA